GACGAACGCUGGCGGCGUGCCUAAUACAUGCAAGUUGAGCGCUGAAGGUUGGUACUUGUACCAACUGGAUGAGCAGCGAACGGGUGAGUAACGCGUGGGGAAUCUGCCUUUGAGCGGGGGACAACAUUUGGAAACGAAUGCUAAUACCGCAUAAAAACUUUAAACACAAGUUUUAAGUUUGAAAGAUGCAAUUGCAUCACUCAAAGAUGAUCCCGCGUUGUAUUAGCUAGUUGGUGAGGUAAAGGCUCACCAAGGCGAUGAUACAUAGCCGACCUGAGGGGGUAAUCGCCACCAUUGGGACUGAGACCCGGCCCAAACCCCUACGGGGGGCAGCAGUGGGGAAUCUUAGGCAAUGGACAAAAUUCGGACCGAAAAACGCCGCGUGAGUGAAGAAGGUUUUCGGAUCGAAAAACUCUUUUGGUAGAAAAAAACGUUGGUGAGGGUGGAAAGCACAUCAAGGGACGGAAACAACCAAGAAAGGGACGGCUAACUACGU
rnacentral:rRNA from 1 species